rnacentral:rRNA from 1 species
UACGUAUGGUGCAAGCGUUAUCCGGAUUUACUGGGUGUAAAGGGAGCGCAGGCGGUGCGGCAAGUCUGAUGCGAAAGCCCGGGGCUCAACCCCGGUACUGCAUUGGAAACUGUCGUACUAGAGUGUCGGAGGGGUAAGUGGAAUUCCUAGUGUAGCGGUGAAAUGCGUAGAUAUUAGGAGGAACACCAGUGGCGAAGGCGGCUUACUGGACGAUAACUGACGCUGAGGCUCGAAAGCGUGGGGAGCAAACAGG